rnacentral:rRNA from 1 species
GCGUGACGGAGCAAUGCCGCGUGCAGGAUGAAGGCCUUCGGGGUCGUAAACUGCUGUCACUGGGAACGAAUAAAUUGACGGUACCCGGAGAGGAAGCCACGGCUAACUACGUGCCAGCAGCCGCGGUAAUACGUAGGUGCAAGCGUUAAUCGGAAUUACUGGGCGUAAAGCGUGCGCAGGCGGACUUUUAAGCCAGAUGUGAAAGCCCCGAGCUUAACUUGGGAAUUGCGUUUGGAACUGGGAGUCUAGAGUCUGUCAGAGGGGAUGGAAUUCCACGUGUAGCAGUGAAAUGCGUAGAGAUGUGGAGGAACACCGAUGGCGAAGGCAGUCCCCUGGGAUAAGACUGACGCUCAUGCACGAAAGCGUGGGGAGCAAACAGGAUUAGAUACCCUGGUAGUCCACGCCCUAAACGAUGUCUACUAGUUGUUGGGGUAGCAAUACCUCAGUGACGCAGCUAACGCGUGAAGUAGACCGCCUGGGGAGUACGGUCGCAAGAUUAAAACUCAAAGGAAUUGACGGGGGG